UAAGCGGAGGAAAAGAAACUAACNAGGAUUCCCCUAGUAACUGCGAGUGAAGCGGGAAAAGCUCAAAUUUAAAAUCUGGUGGUCUUUGNNCAUNCGAGUUGUAAUUUAGAGAAGCGUCUUCCGCGCUGGNCCGUGCACAAGUCUCCUGGAAUGGAGCGUCAUAGAGGGUGAGAAUCCCGUCUUUGGCAUGGAAUCCCAGGGCUUCUGUGAUGCGCUCUCGACGAGUCGAGUUGUUUGGGAAUGCAGCUCAAAAUGGGUGGUGAACUCCAUCUAAAGCUAAAUAUUGGCGAGAGACCGAUAGCGAACAAGUACCGUGAGGGAAAGAUGAAAAGCACUUUGGAAAGAGAGUGAAACAGUACGUGAAAUUGUUGAAAGGGAAACGCUUGAAGUCAGUCGCGUCGACCGAGACUCAGCCUUGCCUCGGCUUGGUGUACUUCUCGGCUGACGGGUCAGCAUCGAUUUCGAUCCUCGGAUAAUGGCAAGGGAAAGGUAGCACCUUUUUAGGUGUGUUAUAGUCCUCUGUCGCAUGCGAGGGUCGGGAUCGAGGAACUCAGCACGCACCUCAGGGUGUCGGGGCCUUGGCCCACGUUUACGUGCUUAGGAUGCUGGCGUAAUGGCUUUAAACGACC
rnacentral:rRNA from 1 species